rnacentral:rRNA from 1 species
UACGUAGGGUGCAAGCGUUAAUCGGAAUUACUGGGCGUAAAGCGUGCGCAGGCGGUUUUGUAAGUUUGUCGUGAAAUCCCCGGGCUCAACCUGGGAAUGGCGAUGAAGACUGCAAGGCUAGAAUCUGGCAGAGGGGGGUAGAAUUCCACGUGUAGCAGUGAAAUGCGUAGAGAUGUGGAGGAACACCGAUGGCGAAGGCAGCCCCCUGGGUCAAGAUUGACGCUCAUGCACCGAAAGGCGUGGGGAGCAAACAG